GGGGAGAUUGCUUGGUGGUCAAAAGCACUGGCUGCUCUUCCAGAGAACCUAGGUUCAGUUCCCAUCUCCCCA
rnacentral:tRNA from 1 species